rnacentral:rRNA from 1 species
UCCGUAGGCGGCCAUAUAAGUGUGAGGUGAAAUCCACUAGCUCAACUAGUGAAUUGCCUUUCAAACUGUAUGGCUCGAGGUUGGAAGAGGAGAGCGGAACUGCCAGUGUAAGGGUGAAAUCUGUGGAUAUUGGCAGGAACGUCCGUGACGAAGGUGGCUCUCUGGUCCAAAUCUGACGCUGAGGGACGAAAGCUAGGGAAGCAAACA